CGUUAUCCUCUCUCUCUGAUUGUUGAAACAGUUUGUUUGUAAGACUGUCUCUUCAAAACUAAACAUUUUUAUCUUUGAAUAUUUGUUAACAUGAAAGAACUGUUUGAAAAUAUUUUGUGAAGUUGAAAAUUUUUGAAAAUUUGUGCAGAUUUUUUUGUUAGGUUGUAAAUUGUUGUAAAUGUCUAAUAUUGUAAAUUGAAAAUUAUUGUGGACUUUUUCACUGUAUAGAAUUUGAAAAUUUGUGUAGAGUUUUCUGUAUAGAUUUUGCUCACUGUUUUUAUACUAAGUUGAAAAUUUGUGUAGACUUUUCACUGUAUUCUUUAAGAAUAGUUUUUUUUUUUUUAAGUAAAAAAUAUUUGUAGAAUUCUUAGGCAAUGUAAUAAUGUAAAGAAUUGUUGAAUAAAAGUCUAGGGAGA